rnacentral:rRNA from 1 species
CAGACCUCUAAUCGGAAAAGACUACCCGCUGAGUUUAAGCAUAUCACUAAGCGGAGGAGAAGAAACUAACCAGGAUUUCCCUAGUAACGGCGAGCGAACCGGAAAGAGCCCAGCUUGAAAAUCGUGGUGCCUCGCACCUCGAGUUGUAGUCUGGAGAAGGUCCCUCUGCGGCGCGCCGGACCCAAGUUCCCUGGAAAGGGACGUCAUCGAGGGUGACAACCCCGUCCGUGCCCGGAACGCGUCUCUCCACGAGGACCUGUCUGCGAGUCGGGCUGUUUGGGAAUGCAGCCCUAAUCGGGAGGUAAAUUCCUUCUAAGGCUAAAUAUGGGCAAGAGACCGAUAGCGAACAAGUACCGCGAGG